UUUCCACGCCGGGAAUCGAACCCGGGUUUCCUGAUUGAGACCCAGGUAUCCUAGCCAGUAGACCAGGUAGGA